AUUGAACGCUAGCGGGAUGCCUUACACAUGCAAGUCGAACGGAGUGGCGAACGGGUGAGUAAUGUAUCGGAACGUGCCCAGUAGCGGGGGAUAACGACGCGAAAGCGGAGCUAAUACCGCAUACUAUCGGAGCGGCCGAGUUCGGAUUAGCUAGUUGGUGGGGUAAAGGCCUACCAAGGCGACGAUCCGUAGCUGGUUUGAGAGGAUGACCAGCCACACUGGGACUGAGACACGGCCCAGACUCCUACGGGAGGCAGCAGUGGGGAAUUUUGGACAAUGGGGGAAACCCUGAUCCAGCCAUCCCGCGUGUGUGAAGAAGGUCUUCGGGUUGUAAAGCACUUUUGGUAGGAAAGCGGUACCUGCAGAAUAAGCACCGGCUAACUAUGUGCCAGCAGCCGCGGUAAUAC
rnacentral:rRNA from 1 species